ensembl:lncRNA
GCAACUUGCAGCUGAGGGAGCGAGGAGAGGACACAUGAGGCCAGUCGCAGCUGGUCAGGCUGUGUGCAUGAAGCCUGCUUCUAUCUUACCGUGUAUGUUUAGAGGUGGCGAGAGAACGGCAGGCUGAUUUAAAAAAAGAGGGGAAAACGCGCCACACGUUAAAAAGCCUGAACUGCUCUCGCGGUAUGGACGGGUUACAGUCACAAAAUGCUGGAGUUGGUGGCAUCGCGGAAGACGCGGAGGAAAAGUAUCGCGCACUCGCCUAUGACACCGCUCUGAGCACUUUGGUGGCAGUGGCCCUGUAUGUCGUAAUAAAAGUGAGCCUGGACGGCUUCAGACAGUGGCGGGCCAAGAUCUCCGUGCUCGUGGUGGGUUCGGGACCCGUGGGACUGACGGCCGCGCUGGUUGCUGUCCGCUCCGGGAAGGUGCUGAAAUUGACCGUGCUGGACGAGAGGUACCGGACCGCCCUGCUCUCCCGGCCCCAGCAGAUCGCCCUGGAUCCCCGCAGUGUGAAGUUUCUGCUGGGACUCGGGGUGGACUUUGAUAACAUGGAGGGCUGCUGGCACAACGAUCAUUUCUUCACCAGAAUAGGCGUGUUUCAGGAGUACCUGCUGAGCAUCCUGGAGCAGAAGAAACAGAGGGUGGACGUCAAGGUGCAGCUGGGAACCAAGUUCACCGAGGAUUACUUGCGACAGAUUCCACACAAUAAUUGGCCACGUGUGAUUGUGGUAGCUGAUGGAUCUUGUGGCGACUCCUGCUCUGUGUUGGGGAUCAGCUCUGACUACACUGUGGAGUCCUGCCAUGCAUAUGGAGCUAAUGCAACUAUAGAGAGAUUAGACCAGAGACAGGUGCCCACUCCUGAGAUCCGCGCUCACAGCCUUUACUUUGACCUGUCUGCCUAUGGAGUGGAGGCCUUCAGAGAGCACAGAAACCAAACCACCAAGCCUGGCUUUCACUUGAAGAUCUAUGGCACUUUCAGAAACCGCUACAUGGCCCUUGUCUGCCCUGCCUCUGACACCAAGAUGGUUCGCUUUCUUAGGCAAACUGCACACUCCUCUAUCAUGAAGAACAUUUUCCAUCAAUCUUUCAAUGCUUAUAAGACAGACAUAGAGCCUCGUCUCAACGAUGUGACCCUCCAUCACAUGCAGUGCAGCCGUCGUCUCUUUGAGAUUCAGCUGUCGCACAGACGCAUCAGUGCUGCCUACAUAGAAGGGGACAAUGUGGCGGUCACUGUGGAGGGUGAGGCGGCACGUGUCCUUAAUUUUGACACAGGUUGUGGAGUGAAUCUAGGCAUGCGAGGCCUGGAGUCUAUGGGGACCUUCAUUUACCGGACAGCCACAGCUGUGGACCAGAAUGAUAUUCUUGAGGCACUGUCAGCUAAGAUGCUGCACUCUAGACAGGUGGCUGAAACCUUCAAGCAGACAGGUCUGGCUGAGUCAAUGUAUGAAUGAAAUAGCAGAAUGACUUAAUGAAUGCAUAUUGCCACCUAGUGGAAAGUGGUGGUGGAUUGUUUAGUGAGUGUUUGCAAUGAAUCAUGCAAAUCAUGCAAAAAAAAAAAAAAAAAAGAACCACUGGGGUGCUUGUAUGGCCAAGUGACUGAGGCUGCAUACCACAUGGGUUCAUAUUUCCUGAGCAGUGAGUGUGGGGUUUGAUUCCUGGCUGGAAAGAUCCUUACUGCAUUUCAUGUCCCUGUUCUCUUUCUUCAUAUUUUCCAUUUGCUUUAAUGUCUUUCUUUCUGAUGUAAUCUGUGACAAGAAAAGAAAACCAAAAAAUAAAUAAUAC